rnacentral:miRNA from 1 species
UAAAUCUGGUGCCUAUCAAGG